GGGAAGAUGAGGAAUUCCAGAAUCCAGUCAUGGAGUUGGAUCAUGUGGCCAAGUUUCUUCAAGGCAAGACCAUACUAAUCACUGGUGCAACUGGAUUUUUGGCCAAAGUCUUUAUCGAGGAAAUACUAAGGCAUCAACCAAAUGUGAAUAAGCUCUAUAUUCUUAUGAG